rnacentral:rRNA from 1 species
CAGUAGCCGCGGUAAUACAGAGGAUGCAAGCGUUAUCCGGAAUGAUUGGGCGUAAAGCGUCUGUAGGUGGCUUUUCAAGUCCGCCGUCAAAUCCCAGGGCUCAACCCUGGACAGGCGGUGGAAACUACCAAGCUGGAGUACGGUAGGGGCAGAGGGAAUUUCCGGUGGAGCGGUGAAAUGCGUAGAGAUGUGGAGGAACACCAGUGGCGAAGGCGACUCUCUGGUCUGUAACUGACGCUGAGGAGCGAAAGCGUGGGGAGCGAACAGGAUUAGAUACCCCGGUAGUCCCUGUCUCUUAUAC